rnacentral:rRNA from 1 species
GAUGAACGCUGGCGGCGUGCCUAAUACAUGCAAGUCGAGCGAAUGGAUUAAGAGCUUGCUCUUAUGAAGUUAGCGGCGGACGGGUGAGUAACACGUGGGUAACCUGCCCAUAAGACUGGGAUAACUCCGGGAAACCGGGGCUAAUACCGGAUAACAUUUUGAACCGCAUGGUUCGAAAUUGAAAGGCGGCUUCGGCUGUCACUUAUGGAUGGACACGCGCCGCAUUAGCUAGUCGGUGAGGUAACGGCUCACCAAGGCAACGCUGCGUAGCCGGCCUGGGAGGGUGAUCGGCCACACUGGGACUGAGACACGGCCCAGACUCCUGCGGGAGGCAGCAGUAGGGAAUCUGCCGCAAUGGACGAAAGUCUGACGGAGCAACGCCGCGUGAGUGAUGAAGGCUUUCGGGUCGUAAAACUCUGUUGUUAGGGAAGAACAAGUGCUAGUUGAAUAAGCUGGCACCUUGACGGUACCUAACCAGAAAGCCACGGCUAACUACGUGCCAGCCGCCGCGGUAA